rnacentral:rRNA from 1 species
GACGAACGCUGGCGGCGUGCUUAACACAUGCAAGUCGAACGGAAAGGCCCUGCUUUUGUGGGGUGCUCGAGUGGCGAACGGGUGAGUAACACGUGAGUAACCUGCCCUUGACUUUGGGAUAACUUCAGGAAACUGGGGCUAAUACCGGAUAGGAGCUCCUGCUGCAUGGUGGGGGUUGGAAAGUUUCGGCGGUUGGGGAUGGACUCGCGGCUUAUCAGCUUGUUGGUGGGGUAGUGGCUUACCAAGGCUUUGGCGGAUAGCCGGCCUGAGAGGGUGACCGGCCACAUUGGGACUGAGAUACGGCCCAGACUCCUACGGGAGGCAGCAGUGGGGAAUAUUGCACAAUGGGCGGAAGCCUGAUGCAGCAACGCCGCGUGCGGGAUGACGGCCUUCGGGUUGUAAACCGCUUUCGCCUGUGACGAAGCGUGAGUGACGGUAAUGGGUAAAGAAGCACCGGCUAACUACGUG